rnacentral:rRNA from 1 species
GACGAACGCUGGCGGCGUGCCUAAUACAUGCAAGUUGAGCGCUGAAGGUUGGUACUUGUACCGACUGGAUGAGCAGCGAACGGGUGAGUAACGCGUGGGGAAUCUGCCUUUGAGCGGGGGACAACAUUUGGAAACGAGUGCUAAUACCGCAUAAAAACUUUAAACACAAGUUUUAAGUUUGAAAGAUGCAAUUGCAUCACUCAAAGAUGAUCCCGCGUUGUAUUAGCUAGUUGGUGAGGUAAAGGCUCACCAAGGCGAUGAUACAUAGCCGACCUGAGAGGGUGAUCGGCCACAUUGGGACUGAGACACGGCCCAAACUCCUACGGGAGGCAGCAGUAGGGAGUCUUCGGCAAUGGACGAAAGUCUGACCGAGCAACGCCGCGUGAGUGAAGAAGGUUUUCGGAUCGUAAAACUCUGUUGGUAGAGAAGAACGUUGGUGAGAGUGGAAAGCUCAUCAAGUGACGGUAACUACCCAGAAAGGGACGGCUAACUACGUGUCAGCAGCCGCGGUAA